ACGAACGCUGGCGGCGUGCCUAAGACAUGCAAGUCGUACGAGAAAGGGGCUUCGGCCCUGAGUACAGUGGCGCACGGGUGAGUAACGCGUGGGCAACCUACCUCGAAGUCGGGAAUAACCCGGGGAAACCUGGGCUAAUGCCGGAUGAGCCUACGAGAUCCUCGGAUCAUGUGGGAAAAGAUGGCCUCUGCUUGCAAGCUAUCGCUACGAGAUGGGCCCGCGUCCCAUUAGCUAGUUGGUGAGGUAACGGCUCACCAAGGCUCCGAUGGGUAGCUGGUCUGAGAGGACGAUCAGCCACACUGGAACUGAGACACGGUCCAGACUCCUACGGGAGGCAGCAGUCGGGAAUCUUGGGCAAUGGGCGAAAGCCUGACCCAGCGACGCCGCGUGAGGGAUGAAGGCCUUCGGGUCGUAAACCUCUGUCAGGAGGGAAGAACGUCGGCGAGGUGAACAAUCUCGUUGGUUGACGGUACCUCCAAAGGAAGCGCCGGCUAACUCCGUGCCAGCAGCCGCGGGUAAUACGGAGGGCGCAAGCGUUGUUCGGAAUCACUGGGCGUAAGGGUGUAGGCGGGGAAGUCGGAUGUGAAUCCGAGGCAACCGGAACUGCAUUCGAAACUGCUGGUAGAGUCCCGGAGGAUGGGAAUCCGGUAGGGGUGAAUCGUAGAUAUCAGGAGGAACACCGUGGCGAAGGCGGCCAUCUGGACGGUGACCGACGCUGAGGACGCGAAAGCGUAGGGGAGCAAACAGGAUUAGAUACCCUGGUAGUCCUAGCCUGUAAACGGUGGAUGCUAGCUGUCGAGGGGUAUUGAUCCCCGCGGUGUCGAAGCUAACGCGUUAAGCACUCCGCCUGGGGAGUACGGUCGCAAGGCUUAAAACUCAAAGGAAUUGACGGGGGCCCGCACAAGCGGUGGAUGAUGUGGUUUAAUUCGACGCAACGCGAAGAACCUUACCUGGGCUCGAACGGCUAGUGACAGGGGGCGAAAGUUCCCUUUCCUGCAAGGGACAUUAGUCGAGGUGCUGCAUGGCUGUCGUCAGCUCGUGUCGUGAGAUGUUGGGUUAAGUCCCGCAACGAGCGCAACCCCUGCCAUUAGUUGCCAUCAGGUCAAGCUGGCACUCUAAUGGGACUGCCGGUGAAAAACCGGAGGAAGGUGGGGAUGACGUCAAGUCCUCAUGGCCUUUAUGUCCAGGGCUACACACGUACUACAAUGGCCGGUACAAUGAGUCGCAAACCCGCGAGGGGGAGCCAAUCUCAAAAAGCCGGUCUCAGUUCGGAUUGGAGUCUGCAACUCGACUCCAUGAAGCUGGAAUCGCUAGUAAUCGCUGAUCAGCAAGCAGCGGUGAAUACGUUCCCGGGCCUUGUACACACCGCCCGUCACAUCACGAAAGCCAGUUGUACUAGAAGCCGGUGAUUCAACCGCAAGGAGAUAGCCGUCCAAGGUAUGACUGGUGAUUGGGGUG
rnacentral:rRNA from 1 species